rnacentral:rRNA from 1 species
GAUGAACGCUGGCGGCGUGCCUAAUACAUGCAAGUCGAGCGAACAGACGAGGAGCUUGCUCCGCUGACGUUAGCGGCGGACGGGUGAGUAACACGUGGAUAACCUACCUAUAAGACUGGGAUAACUUCGGGAAACCGGAGCUAAUACCGGAUAAUAUAUUGAACCGCAUGGUUCAAUAGUGAAAGACGGUUUUGCUGUCACUUAUAGAUGGAUCCGCGCCGCAUUAGCUAGUUGGUAAGGUAACGGCUUACCAAGGCAACGAUGCGUAGCCGACCUGAGAGGGUGAUCGGCCACCCUGGAACUGAGACACGGUCCAGACUCCUACGGGAGGCAGCAGUAGGGAAUCUUACGCAAUGGGCGAAAGCCUGACGGAGCAACGCCGCGUGAGUGAUGAAGGUCUUCGGAUCGUAAAACUCUGUUAUUAGGGAAGAACAAAUGUGUAAGUAACUAUGCACGUCUUGACGGUACCUAAUCAGAAAGCAACGGCUAACUACGUG